GGGCUCGUAGCUCAGUCAGGCAGAGCACCGGGCUUUUAACCCGAUGGUCGAGGGUUCAAAUCCCUCCGAGCCCG
rnacentral:tRNA from 3 species